rnacentral:rRNA from 1 species
UACGUAGGGUGCAAGCGUUGUCCGGAUUUAUUGGGCGUAAAGAGCUCGUAGGCUGUUCGAUAAGUCGGGUGUGAAACCUCCAGCUCAACCUGGAGACGCCACCCGAUACUGUCAUGACUAGAGUCCGGUAGGGGAGCGUGGAAUUCCUGGUGUAGCGGUGGAAUGCGCAGAUAUCAGGAGGAACACCGAUGGCGAAGGCAGAUCUCUGGGCCGUAACUGACGCUGAGGAGCGAAAGCAUGGGGAGCGAACAGG